rnacentral:rRNA from 1 species
AGAGUUUGAUCCUGGCUCAGGACGAACGCUGGCGGCGCGCUUAAUACAUGCAAGUCGAGCGAGAACCAUGGCUUCGGCCAUGGGGACAGCGGCGAACGGGUGAGUAACACGUGGGUAAUCAACCCCCGACACUGGGAUAGCCCGGGGAAACCCGGAUUAAUACCGGAUGGCCUUUCGAGCUCUCGGGCUCGUCAGAAAAGGUAGCUUCGGCCUCCGGCCGAGGAGGGACUCGCGGCGGAUUAGCUUGUUGGUGAGGUAACGGCUCACCAAGGCGACGAUCCGUAGCUGGUCUGAGAGGACGAUCAGCCACACUGGGACUGAGACACGGCCCAGACUCCUACGGGAGGCAGCAGUGGGGAAUCUUGCGCAAUGGGCGAAAGCCUGACGCAGCGACGCCGCGUGCGGGAAGAAGGCCUUCGGGCUGUAAACCGCUUUCAGGAGGGACGAAGCCACUCGGGUUAAUAGCCCAGAGGGUGACGGUACCUCCAGAAGAAGCCCCGGCUAACUACGUGCCAGCAGCCGCGGUAAUUC